rnacentral:rRNA from 1 species
CUACGGGAUGCUGCAGUGAGGAAUAUUGCACAAUGGGGGGAACCCUGAUGCAGCAACGCCGCGUGGAGGAUGACGCAUUUCGGUGUGUAAACUCCUUUUAUAUGUCAAGAAAAUGACGGUAGCAUAUGAAUAAGCACCGGCUAACUCCGUGCCAGCAGCCGCGGUAAUACGGAGGGUGCGAGCGUUACUCGGGAUCACUGGGCGUAAAGGACGCGUAGGCGGGUUGGAAAGUCAGGUGUGAAAUCCUACAGCUUAACUGUAGAACUGCACUUGAAACUUCUAAUCUAGAGUAUGGGAGGGGGAGAUGGAAUUAGUGGUGUAGGGGUAAAAUCCGUAGAUAUCACUAGGAAUACCUAAAGCGAAGGCGAUCUCCUGGAACAUUACUGACGCUAAGGCGUGAAAGCGUGGGGAGCAAACAGGAUUAGAUACCCCAGUAGUC